CACGCCUGCCGCAAGAUGCUGCUCCUGCUGCUGAGCGCUGUGCUAAUUCCAGAUCCUGGCUCUGGGGCACUGGGACUCAACAGCACGACAGCUCAGCCGGAGGCCCCCCAACCUGACGGUGCCCCGCUCUGCGCCCCCCAGGCUGUGAGAUCAUCCACCCACCGCGGGACGGGGGGAUCCG